rnacentral:rRNA from 1 species
AAUCAACGCUGGCGGCGUGCCUCAGACAUGCAAGUCGAACGAUUAAAGCUCUCUUCGGAGAGUGCAUAGAGUGGCGCACGGGUGAGUAACACGUAAGUAAUCUACCUUCGAGUGGGGAAUAACGUCCGGAAACGGACGCUAAUACCGCAUAAUGCAGCGGCAUCGUAAGAUGACAGUUGUUAAAGAUUUAUCGCUUGAAGAGGAGCUUGCGGCAGAUUAGCUAGUUGGUAAGGUAAUGGCUUACCAAGGCUACGAUCUGUAACCGGUCUUAGAGGACGGUCGGUCACACUGACACUGAAUAACGGGUCAGACUCCUACGGGAGGCAGCAGUCGGGGAAUUUUGGGCAAUGGGCGAAAGCCUGACCCAGCAACGCCGCGUGAAGGAUGAAGUAUUUCGGUAUGUAAACUUCGAAAGAAUAGGAAGAAUAAAUGACGGUACUAUUUAUAAGGUCCGGCUAACUACGUGCCAGCAGCCGCGGUAA